GCCGAAAGGAUUCGCGCCCUUUCGUCCCGUGCCCUUGGAGCUGCUGAGGCCACCAUGGAGGCCGCAGCGGCGCCGCGACCCCGCCGGCAGCGCCCGGACCCCGCCGGGACUGCGGAAACGCCUCCCCGCAGAAAGAUGUCGUGAAGUAAAGAAGCUGGGCCUUCCACCUGGCUGUGACACAGCAGCACGAGGAGCAGCUGGGAGAGGUGGCUCUGAUGUGAAGGUAGAGCCUGCAGGGCUGUGCUGGUGGUGAUGUCCCCCCAUUGAUGGGACAGCUCUCCCCGAGUCCUGUGGAGGGCACUGGGACAGCAGAGCAGGAGAAUCUGCUGGACACACAUAAAGGUCUGUUCCUGUUCCUGCCACAAAGUGUCAAUUUCCUGUGAUAUCACAUGAUGAAACUAACCCAAACUUGCUGGAAUUACCGGCAGAUUGACUGGUGGUGAGCAAAAGGUUUUCUGAUGAUAUCUGACUCAUUAACAAAUGCAUUAAUGAGGAUUAAAGCUGGUUACCUGACCCUGCUCCUGUGUUCCAGGUGGUGCUGCUGCAAACAUCUCUGAGGCACAAGGACUCCCAACAAAACACCUGGGCUUGAGGAGUUUGUGUAGACAGAACAUUUUUCUGCCUGUUACAAAGUGGUAACAGUUCAAAUGUUUUAUUACAUGUACAUUAAAAUAAUUCAAAAAGAAA